rnacentral:rRNA from 1 species
GAUAACGGCGUCGAGCGGCGGACGGGUGAGUAAUGCCUAGGAAAUUGCCCUGAUGUGGGGGAUAACCAUUGGAAACGAUGGCUAAUACCGCAUAAUGCCUACGGGCCAAAGAGGGGGACCUUCGGGCCUCUCGCGUCAGGAUAUGCCUAGGUGGGAUUAGCUAGUUGGUGAGGUAAUGGCUCACCAAGGCGACGAUCCCUAGCUGGUCUGAGAGGAUGAUCAGCCACACUGGAACUGAGACACGGUCCAGACUCCUACGGGAGGCAGCAGUGGGGAAUAUUGCACAAUGGGCGCAAGCCUGAUGCAGCCAUGCCGCGUGUGUGAAGAAGGCCUUCGGGUUGUAAAGCACUUUCAGUCGUGAGGAAGGUGGUGUAGUUAAUAGCUGCAUUAUUUGACGUUAGCGACAGAAGAAGCACCGGCUAACUCCGUGCCAGCAGCCGCGGUAAUACGGAGGGUGCGAGCGUUAAUCGGAAUUACUGGGCGUAAAGCGCAUGCAGGUGGUUUGUUAAGUCAGAUGUGAAAGCCCGGGGCUCAACCUCGGAAUAGCAUUUGAAACUGGCAGACUAGAGUACUGUAGAGGGGGGUAGAAUUUCAGGUGUAGCGGUGAAAUGCGUAGAGAUCUGAAGGAAUACCGGUGGCGAAGGCGGCCCCCUGGACAGAUACUGACACUCAGAUGCGAAAGCGUGGGGAGCAAACAGGAUUAGAUACCCUGGUAGUCCACGCCGUAAACGAUGUCUACUUGGAGGUUGUGGCCUUGAGCCGUGGCUUUCGGAGCUAACGCGUUAAGUAGACCGCCUGGGGAGUACGGUCGCAAGAUUAAAACUCAAAUGAAUUGACGGGGGCCCGCACAAGCGGUGGAGCAUGUGGUUUAAUUCGAUGCAACGCGAAGAACCUUACCUACUCUUGACAUCCAGAGAACUUUCCAGAGAUGGAUUGGUGCCUUCGGGAACUCUGAGACAGGUGCUGCAUGGCUGUCGUCAGCUCGUGUUGUGAAAUGUUGGGUUAAGUCCCGCAACGAGCGCAACCCUUAUCCUUGUUUGCCAGCGAGUAAUGUCGGGAACUCCAGGGAGACUGCCGGUGAUAAACCGGAGGAAGGUGGGGACGACGUCAAGUCAUCAUGGCCCUUACGAGUAGGGCUACACACGUGCUACAAUGGCGCAUACAGAGGGCAGCAAGCUAGCGAUAGUGAGCGAAUCCCAAAAAGUGCGUCGUAGUCCGGAUUGGAGUCUGCAACUCGACUCCAUGAAGUCGGAAUCGCUAGUAAUCGUGGAUCAGAAUGCCACGGUGAAUACGUUCCCGGGCCUUGUACACACCGCCCGUCACACCAUGGGAGUGGGCUGCAAAAGAAGUAGGUAGUUUAACCUUCGGGAG